UUACAGUGUAAAUAUAAUUACUGUGACAUAGAUUUGCUUUGGUUCACUGAGCUGGCAAUGAGCAAGCUUUACAGCAUUGUAUCUUUUUGUUCUUGCUUAAAUUGCCUUUCUAGUAGGUGGUUGGAGCUAGAACCCAGACCACAGCUGCAGUCCCAAUGUGCUGUUGUAACAGUAUUAGCAUAUAAAGUAGAUAUCAUUGCAGAGUGCAGGGCUGAUUCCUACCGGCCCUAUGCGCUGUGAGUGUAGCGGGAAAGGUCCAUUUCAGUGUGCUUGGCACAGCAGGAACCUGCUGACUUGGCAGUACCUGCAGGAGACUCCGUGCUUUUCAGUGGUGGCUGCUCUACACUCCUGGAUUUUGCCGCCUUGCCAGCAGCACUGGGACCAGAACAAGCAGAGAAGUGUUUUCCAUGGAAAUCUUCUUUCCUAGAUUGAAUGACCCUUAUGCACUGUGUCUUUCCUGGUUGCACAGACAGGUCUGUACCAACAAGUGUUUCUCCUGAAGGAACCUAGAGCAUCUGGACAGGUCUGAGUGGGUCUGGUGUGGAAACGCAGUCCUGGGGAGCUCAGAUACAUGACAGUGCUUAUACAAGUAGUUAACCUAAGAAUAUUGACUACGCCUAUGCAUGUGUUUGCCCUAAUAGCACUGGUCUGAAUCCGAUAUACUUAUUGCCUCCAGAGGAGGCUGGCGGCCAUUUUGUCAGCCCAGAGCUGCUGCUGCAGCUAUGCAGCAGCUUCUUCACUGCUGGUUUCUCUCCAUGUAAACCUUCCUCCCUUACCACAUGUGCCCCCAGGCCCCUGUUUGCCACUCUUUGUCUUUUAGGGGGAAAAAGCCAAGUGUGGGAGGCUGGAUGUUGUUCCCUCUGCUGCCUGAGGGACCCUCUUGUGGCUUCCGGAAGGUUCCACAGAGCUUCCUGUCAGUGCCGUGGGACAGCCAGCGCCUCGCUUAUGACCUGUGGACGAGGGUGCUUCUGUGGCUGUCCAAAAAAAAAGGGAUAAAAAAAUGCUGGAAACAGCACAGCUGGAGAGCACGUAAUACUGCUGAAGAGAUGCAAAGAGAAGAUGCAGUUCUAUUAAGAGAUUUCAUGAGUACGCACAGCUAUGCAGGACAAAAGGACAACUUCUUCAUGAAAAGAAAUACUGUUGCUGGCUCAGACUUGGUGAGAGAAAGAGAUACGGAUACAUUGUAUAUCAGUGGAAGAAGACAUGAGGAGAUAUGAAUCAACUUGGGAGAUGUGAACUUUCUAUGAGCUUCUGAGACCUGCAGAAUGUCUGGCUGAGAUGGCAUCAUCCCUCCACAGGGCAGCUCGCCAAAAUGCCUGGGUGGUGCUUGGAGGGAAAAGGAAGAGGGCGAGACAAAGUGUUGUCAUCCUGUUUAUCUAUUUGAGCUAGCAAAAUGCUACAGUAGUGAUGCAUCUAAAUGGCAAUACUUCCUUCUGUUUCACUCAUUUCAAAGAUUUUAGAGAAUUCCUUCAUUUUAGUUGGUCAGUAGCUGUUUAAGAUUGUAUUUUUUAUCAAUUUAUUAUGCUGACUAGCAAUGCUAACAAAGCUUUUUAAGUAAAGCAGGCUGUAUUGCAACUUUAUUUUUUUCCCCCUAAAUUAUACGCUUUGAUUAAUAAUAAGUGCUGUGAAUAGAGAUAAUUGAAACAUUUCUUCACAAGAUGCUUAAUCUUUGGAUUUGAGAUGGACCCUGGGGAAAGAGUUUGCAUUCAGACCUAAUGGCUUUAACGCAUCCUUGCUUUAAUUUCAAAAUUUCUGCUUUAGGGAGUUAUGCUAUUAGAAACUUUUUUAUUUGACCGAAGUUUGUACAUAUGACAAUGCAAUUGUCUUGUUGCAUACAUUCUCAUCCCGUUAAAUUUCAUAACAUUUCUCUAGGAUCUAAAGGAUUUUUCUCUUAUCACUCUUUGGGCUUAAUUCUGCUCUGGAAAAUCAAGCUCUGUCCUCUUUGUUUCAUUCCUUGUCAUUUAAGAUCAGACAACAAUUCUGAAAUCAGAAUGAGCUUUCUGUUAUCUCUCUGAUUUUGAUGGAUUGUCAUGCGUAGGUUUGACUUUGCAGGGGUUGAAUACAGCAUUAAAAAUGUUUUGAGCUGUUAACUGAACAAACAUGCCAUGGAAACUAGAGAGAAAGGUCACCGGCACAGUGCUUGGUGGAAAAAAGCUUUGGUGUUUUUCUUUUUUUUUUUUUUGUCUGUGUCUGUUUUGUUUUGUUUUUUAACUUUGCACAAAGCUUUGAGGUAGAGCAUUGUAACGCAAUUUUCAGAUCACUGAAUUAUGUACUGCAUACAUGCUUAACGAUUUAUGGUACCAUGAGUUAUUUAAUCAGAUAAUGCAUAUACUUUGUAUUACAAUCAAACUCUGAAUGGAAGAAAUUGCUAAUCCUCUGAAUGACACACUAUAUCCGGUGUUAUCCAAAAAUAAUAUGACUUUUUCCUGCCAAAAGUUAUAAAUUCCAGUGGCCAUUGUCUCAUCUGAAAACAUCAAUUAAGCAAAAAUGUGUAAUAAACAGUGUCUUUCAUUUGGAGCA
ensembl:lncRNA